AUCCCUCGCCAGCCCGCCUGCCAGGCCACUGCAGCCAAGACGGGCUAGAAGGCGGUGGGGAGAGACGGGGCUGCGAGACGGAGAACGGCCCCCUGGACUCUUCCAAACCAGGCUUAAAUCCUUCUGGAGUGGCUGAGGGUGAGGUGUAGAGAGAAGCAGCCUCAAGUUUCAACCUUCAAAGGUCCCCUCCCAGGAGAGAAGGAGGACCUGUUUUAGGAGCAGCAAGACAUUGGCCCUCUGGAUCUCCUUGGGUUAUUCCCUGAAUACUGUCGAUGAUGCCAAUACAAAGUCUGUACUUGCACAACAGGUCAGACCCUUUGGAAGGUUCAGGAGAGCAGCAGCGGCUGGGAACUCCUGAUUGGGUGUGGUGGGCCCAGUCCUCAGCCACAGAUGGAAAAUGACAUUUCACUUGUCAAUCAAAUGAAGCCAAUAUCUGCCCAAGUCUGGUCAUCCUGGGAUGGUGGGGAACAGGGGUUCAGUGAAGCCUUUACAGGCUCCACCAGCUGAGUCGCUAUCCCCCAGCUUACCGCUGCCCAGUCUAAUGUUGAUGUGCAGAGUAUUUAACCACUUAUAUGGCAAAAUACAUUUUAUAAACACAUGUAUUUUAGUAAAUCAUUAUAGAAGUAAAAACAUUAAAUUUUCCCUGUAUAUUCUCUAAACUAAACUCAUCCUGAAGCCACUUACUCUGUGAUAUAAGAUAAAAUCAUCACCAAAUCAUUCUAAUUAUUUCUAAGUCUCUUAUUGAUGUUUAGAAAUUUCUGGGUGGGGACUUCCCUGGUGGUCCAGUGGUUAAAACUUCGCUUUUCAAAGCAGAGGGUGCAGUUUUGACCACUGGUCAGGAAGCUAAGAGCCCACAUGUCUCUUGGCCAAAAAAACCAAAACUUAAAACAGAAACAAUAUUAUAACAAAUUCAGUAAAGACUUUUAAAAUGGUCCACAUCAAAAAAAUCUUUAAAAAAAAAAUACUGGUUGGGCUUGUGGUUGAUAAACUCUCAGGAAGCUGAACACUACCCUUCUCUAAACUACAGUUCUGGGGCGGAAACGAGCUCUUCUGAUGUCUUCCAUGUGAAGUCAGUGGUCAUUACCCCUGGGGCCAGGAGCUCAUGGUAGUGGGAGGGUGACUGGGCAGCUGUCCCUUGUGUUCUGCAUCAGCUGACCCUCGUGUUUUGCAUGCUGGUGCUGCUCAUGGAGCCUGUACCUGGAGCCCCUUUGCUUCCAUCCCCACCUGCAGUGCUGUCCCCCGCUGGCCACCUGCCCACCUGGGCCCCUCCUGAGCGCCCACGGGGUCAGUGUCCAUGCAGCUACCAACCUUGAGCUGCUUGGCUCAUGGACCAGCGUCCCAAGUCCAUUGCCACCUGCUGGGUGACCUUAGAUGGUCAUCUAGUGAUUCGUGGUCUAACCUCAGCUCUUAAUCAACCUUCAGGGCCAUAGUUCUGUGUGUUAACCUGGAGGAGCACCAUGCCAGUGUAUAGAGGCUGAAUAUUAGCCAUGGUCUUGUCCCUUCUGAGUAGCUCAGGGUCCCGAGUCUUCUCCUCACCCCUUGCCUUUGGUAACCACACAUCUGAUCUCUUUUUCAAUGCAGUUUUUCUUUUCAAGGUUCCCCGUGUGAGUGAGGUCAUACAGUAUUUGUCUCUCUGUGUAUGACUCAUUUCGCUUAGCACGAUGCCCUCAAGUUCCAUCCACGUCUUGCAAAUGGCAGAAUUUCCUUCUUUCUUAUGGCUGAAUAUUCCAGUGUGUGUGUGUGUGUGUGUGUGUGUGUGUGUAGACCACAGCUUCUUUAUCCAUUUAUUUAUCAGUGACCACUUCAGUUGUUUCCAUGUUCUGGCUGUUGUGAACAGUGCUGCUAUGAACAUGGAGAUGCAGAUAUCUCUUCAAUAUAGUGUUCUCAUUUCCUUCAGUGAUAUUCCCAGAAGUAAAAUUGCUGGAUCAUAUGGUAGUUCCAUUUUAAAUAAACCAAAAGUAGAAUUGGCCCGUUUUUAAA